rnacentral:rRNA from 1 species
GACGAACGCUGGCGGCGUGCCUAAUACAUGCAAGUAGAACGCACAGUUUAUACCGUAGCUUGCUACACCAUAGACUGUGAGUUGCGAACGGGUGAGUAACGCGUAGGUAACCUGCCUGGUAGCGGGUGAUAACUAUUGGCAACGAUAGCUAAUACCGCCUAAUAUUAAUUAUUGCAUGAUAAUUAAUUGAAAGGUGCCAUUGCACCACUCCCAGAUGGACCUGCGUUGUAUUAGCUAGUAGGUGAGGUAACGGCUCACCUAGGCGACGAUACAUAGCCGACCUGAGAGGGUGAUCGGCCACACUGGGACUGAGACACGGCCCAGACUCCUACGGGAGGCAGCAGUAGGGAAUCUUAGGCAAUGGACGAAAGUCUGACCGAGCAACGCCGCGUGAGUGAAGAAGGUUUUCGUAUCGUAAAGCUCUGUUGUAAGAGAAGAACGGGUGUGAGAGUGGAAAGUUCACACUGUGACGGUAUCUUACCAGAAAGGGACGGCUAACUACGUG